CUCAAAAACAAAAAGAGAAGAAAAAGAAAGAAAAAGAAACUGAGGUGCACAGAACAGAAAGAAAGACCUCCACCAUUCUUAUAACAGCAGACAAGAACCUUUCCCUCCUUCUCCUUCCUCAAUGAAGGGACACUUCCUUUCUUUCCCAGCUGGUUUCUUUUUCCCUUUUUCCUUAAGACAUCGAAGAAAGAAUGAAUGAGCUAAUAAAUUUGAAAACGCGAACGAAUUUCAAAUUUCU
rnacentral:ribozyme from 1 species